UACGUAGGGGCCUAGCGUUGUCCGGAUUUAUUGGGCGUAAAGAGCUCGUAGGCGGCUUGUCGCGUCGGCUGUGAAAACCCGCGGCUCAACUGUGGGCGGGCAGCUGAUACGGGCAGGCUGGAGUUCGGUAGGGGAGACUGGAAUUCCUGGUGUAGCGGUGAAAUGCGUAGAUAUCGGAAGGAACAUCAGUGGCGAAAGCGGCUUCCUGGUCCAGCACCGACGUUCAGGCACGAAAGCGUGGGGAGCAAACAGG
rnacentral:rRNA from 1 species